rnacentral:misc_RNA from 1 species
AGAUGUUCGGGUCGGGUCAGUUUCCAUGACUUAUGGUUCAACAUAACCCAAACCAAACCGAAAGGAUUAUCGGUUUGAGCUUUCUAAAACUACAACAGAAUCAUAUAAAUAGCAACCCACUACUCUCGGUUUGAAUUGACACGGUUUCAUAGGGCCCAUUGGUUUAUGCAGGUUCGUGUUCACCCCUAUUUGUGAGUAGGUGUACAUGAUUAAUACUCAAAACAUAGCUAUAAAUAGAAUAUAACAGACAAUGUCUAGCAAUAAUUAAUUUUUCAAGAAACACAUAUGGAGAGGUAUAAUGACCGGAUUUAGUGGCAUUUGCCUGAAGAUUGCAUUGGAAAGGCCUAUCAUGUAGGCUAGCUAAAAACUUUUUGUUUGAAUAACUGCGCGUGUCUGAAGAUAGUAGAUUGAAUGAGACAGCCAUAUGCAGUACACA